rnacentral:rRNA from 1 species
UACGGGGGAGCAAGCGUUGUUCGGAUUUACUGGGCGUAAAGGGCGCGUAGGCGGUCGUGACAAGUCACUUGUGAAAUCUCCGGGCUUAACUCGGAACGGUCAAGUGAUACUGUCGGACUAGAGUACAGAAGGGGCAACUGGAAUUCUCGGUGUAGCGGUGAAAUGCGUAGAUAUCGAGAGGAACACCUGCGGCGAAGGCGGGUUGCUGGGCUGAUACUGACGUGAGGCGCGGAAAGCCAGGGAGGCGAACGGG